rnacentral:lncRNA from 1 species
GUCGUUUUGAGAAUAAAAAUCAGGCAAUAAACGCUGUAAAAGACCUUCUGAGAUAAUGAAGACCCCCUAUUCCAUUUGCUAGAGAAAAUCAAGCAUAAUGAAGGUUGGUCAGAAGGAAACCCAUUGCAUACAAGACAAUCCUAAAAUGAGAGUGGUGGCCAUACAAGAGCCUUUUAACAAGAACUGUUCGAGAUCAACUCAUCGCUACUGGUUACAGUGCGAUAAUACCAUUUCGGAGACCUUUGCUAACGAGCAGACUUACAGUUUUCCGUAUCCAAUGUAGUGCAGAGCUCGCCAAAGUU